GAUUUCUGGUCUGAUGCGCCUGGCCGACCGGGUUUACCCGGCCAGUGUCGGUGUGUGUCUGCCAUCUUUCUAGUUAACCAGCUGCACUUAACUGGGCGGUUGGCGAUCUAGAUCUUUUACUUUGAAAAAAUUAGAGUGUUUAAAGCAGGCUUGCGCUAUGAAUACAUUAGCAUGGAAUAAUAAUUUAGGACUUCGGUUCUAUUUUGUUGGUUUCUAGGACUGAAGUAAUGAUUGAUAGGGAUAGUUGGGGGUGCUAGUAUUCAGCGGCCAGAGGUGAAAUUCUCGGAUUCGCUGAAGACUAACUUAUGCGAAAGCAUU
rnacentral:rRNA from 1 species